rnacentral:tRNA from 1 species
GAGAGUAUAGCUCAGUUGGUAGAGCACUGGAUUGUGGCUCCAGAUGGCGCGGGUUCGAGUCCCGUUACUCUCCCCA